CCACCGAGAACUCCACGCAACCCUUCGUGCACCCGACUCUCUUAGCUCCAAGACUUUAGGUGAUGUCACGAUGCUACGAUUCCGGUUUCGUAAUUUUUGGAAGCUUACGCCGCGAGCUGCGGCAAUCUGUACCGAAAUCGGCCUUUUCUUCAAUAUCUUCGCGUAGCCUUGUUGUAUCGCCGAACCGACUUCGCCAGCGCGUUCGUAUACCUAACAAAUAGGUUUAUACAGGCUCAAUUUAGAUCAAACCCCCUUAUAUAGCAAAAC
rnacentral:lncRNA from 1 species